GGACCCGUCGUCUAGCCUGGAUCAGGACAUGGGCCUUCGGAGCCCAAGAUCGCGGGUUCGAAUCCCGCCGGGUCCA
rnacentral:tRNA from 1 species